UCGGACGUAGUGUGCGGAACACCGCCGGGUAUUGUUAGGAUUUACGUAACUAAACGUGCAAACUGGCAGUUCGGGGUCCGACUCCCCGCGUCCGAA